GUUAGUAAUAGCUCAGUUGGAAGAGCAUUGGCCAGGAAAGCCAAAGGUCCCGGGUUAAAGCCCCCGUCCGCGUCCAAACA